rnacentral:rRNA from 1 species
CCCUCUUCCAGCCAGCGGCGAAAUCGAUCAGGGCUGUGCACCGUCCCGGCCCGCGCGAGGGAAUCUUCAUACAGGCGGAAGAACUGAUCGAGCUGCGUGGUGCGUCCGAUCGGCGAAUGGCCAUAACGCAGGCCGAGCUGCUUUCGUGCCGUCGGAUAGGGUUCACCCUGUAAAAUCAGGGCGAUGGCGGAAGCGAGGCCGGUGCGGUCCGCGCCUUGCCGGCAAUGAAUGUACGCGGGGACCUCGGCCC